rnacentral:lncRNA from 1 species
AAAAAAAAAAAAAAAAAAAAAAAGUCUUUGUCAUUGUUUCCUUGGUGGCAGUCUGCAACGCAGUUGUCAGACUUGUAUUUGGAGACCCACCACCUAGACACCUAGGAAUUUCCUCUAGGGUUAAAAUCUAUAAAAAUCCACCUUUGUCUGUAGUUUUGUUCAAGAACACCAAAUAACAUUUUGAUGUGUUUCAGGUAAAGAGGGAUGUCUGCACUUAACAAGAAUCUGAUGUUUUAUGGUCAGUAUUGAUCCAUCUUGGAAGAGCUUCAAGAAGAUAUCAUUAGAAUGACCAGAAUCCUCCCAGAUGUAUAAAACUAUUCAUCAAAAUAAAAUCAUUAAUGGAGGUGUUGGGACAUAACUGGCAGAAAUAAAUUAAGCCAGCUAUGUUUACAGUCAACAAAAUCAGUAUUUGUGAAUUCCAUGCAGGCAAAGAACUAAUCACAGUGGUUUUGAUGAUUUUCAUUCUCAAGUGGUGGUGUUGCCUGUUUGGCUUUUAAGGGGGAAAAUAGUUGAGCAAGUCCUUGACAGUGGGACAGCUAGCCAGAUGGGAGCCUGGGGGCCUAAGGAGUGAGACGCCCUUUGCGCGGGAGUGGACAUCUCACCAGUAAGUGGCAGGGGCAUCCUUGCAGACCUGGCUAAGACUCCAGGGAGAAGGCGUUGGUCAGCUCCCCUGAAAAGAAUAAGGAAGUUGCUCCUCCAGGAAAAUCCAGGGCCAGACCUAGAUGAGGAGGGACGAGGGAGGAAGUCCCGGAAGACCUCUCUGCUGUCAUUGACCCCAGUCCUUUGCGGCUCUAAGGUUGCCGCCAAUGGAAUCACCUCCUUAAAACGUCAGUUUCUAGAAGAGCCUCAUUUAAUGCAUGUUACCUGGGAAAGUCGGGUAGCACAUUAACUGUAAGCGCUGAUCCUGAGAGAUCUGGCAGGAAGAUGGGGGUGGAGAAGACUGCUUUGCUGACUCCUCCUUAGGUGAGACUCACCUGGAUGGGCCCCGAUGUAUUAAGCAGCCAGCAGCAGUCACAGCAUGCCGUGUGCCGAGGACAACAAGCAGGAUGCCAACGCUGAUCACUAGAGUGGGAUUCUCUGAAUGCAGCACCGUGGCCACAGACUUUACACAUUUAUCCUCUCUCUCCCCACGGAGGGUGGAAGGGUGAAUAUGUCACAGUAUUCCAAAUCAGUUACGUGGUCUGAAGGACGACAGCCAUCAAAGGCAUCUUGCUCCCGCCCCCUAGUGGAUAAACUAGCACAGACAAAUGCAAAAACAAAGAGGCAUCGCACCCAAGAAAAUGAAACCAAAACCAAAAAGGAAGGAAACCAGAAAGCCACAGAAUGGUACGUAGGCCACAAGCAUGACAAACUCAGUGUGAUUUCUUGUGUUCACCCUCUCACAGACAUCGCUUAUGCAGGUGUUUAGACCUAGAGGACCUCAUAAAAAUGAGUAAAGUUAGAAAUGGGGGGUGAUUUUUCAACCAUAUUGAUAUUCCACGAUUUCUUGUUUGCUGCAUUGACACCAUAGUUAAAGCAAGUUGCAAUUAUGUCUUGGGGACUUUUAUGACAUCACAGAGAACUUGAAAAGGGCAUGAUGGUUGUCAUGGUCCUUCAAACAGGAGAAGGCAGUGACAAGGAGAAAGGCAGUUGCUCUCAUAGAUCAGGGAGAAAGCCAGCUAAACUCCAGGCGAAAUAGAAAUUGCAAGUCUUCUCCUCCCCGCCAAAAAAAAAAAAUGAUUUUCAAAGCUGUAAUU